UUCAAUGAACUGCUCACUUUUAAUUAAUAUUAAAAGUUUGACUGACUAAUCUUCUGUAAUGCUAUUAUGAGGAUUGCCCUUUGAGGCUUAUAGCGAUAGGUGUCCUAUGGUUGGUCACAUGAUUCGUUGAA
rnacentral:ncRNA from 1 species